AUGCGACUGCUGCUCUUCUUCCUGAUCGUUGUCCAGCGUUUCUUGCUCCUUGUCCGCGCCCGUCGCCGCCGCGGCGUCCUCCUCCUCCUCGGCGGUGGCCUCGCUGGCGGCGACGCGGACACGCUCGUUGCUCUGGUCCUCGUCCACCGCCGCCGCGUCGCUCUUGGAGUCCUCGCCGCCGGAGCCACGCUCGUCCAGAUCGGGCUGGGCAUGCGGGUCGCCCACGGCCGCCGCGGUGACGGCGCUGCCGCGCUCCUGCUCGGCGCCGCCAUCCUCCUCGGAGCCAGCGUCCUCCUUGCCCAGCGCCCCGUCCUCGGCCUCGGGCUCGCGCGGCGGCGACGGCGGCGCCUUCUCCCUGGUCACCUCGUACGCGAACGACGAGCGCGUGGUAUGGCGGUACGCCGUGACGGCGGCCGCCUUGUCCCCGUCGUCCGGCCCGGCGAUGGACGCGGACGAGGUGGACGUGAGCAAGUAGGCCCCGGCGACGCAGAGCGCCACGAGCACCCCCGUGGUGGCGUAGUAGACGCACGCCGACGCGGCCGCGGACGAGGACGCCGCCCCGCCCCCGCGCUUCCCGGCGGCGCGCGAGCUCCGGCCUCCCACCCCCGCCAUGCCGAUCGGCCGAUGGAUGGGUCGAUCGAUCUAUCUAAGCUGGUAGUGCCACCAUUGGUUUGGACGCGGGUUUUAGGCGCUGUGUUUGCGUUGCGGGGCGCGAUGGGCGUACGUGGCGCGCCAUGCACACGAGUUCGGGGAACGCGGGGUGAUCCCCGCACGUCGGGGGCGAGCAGGAUGUGGGGUCAGCAGGCGGUUCGCUGGUUGAGCGGCUUGGCGUGGGACAGGACUCGCAGGAGAAUCGGGACACGGAGCCGCGGAUCUCUCCCGUGCCGGUUAGUUUGUUUGUUGCUCCCGUCAACAGGAUCAUCAGCAGUCUUUUCUUAA
rnacentral:rRNA from 1 species